rnacentral:rRNA from 1 species
ACUCCUGCGGGAGGCAGCAGUGGGGAAUUUUGGACAAUGGGCGAAAGCCUGAUCCAGCAAUGCCGCGUGAGUGAAGAAGGCCUUCGGGUUGUAAAGCUCUUUUGUCAGGGAAGAAACGGUGAGAGCUAAUAUCUUUUGCUAAUGACGGUACCUGAAGAAUAAGCACCGGCUAACUACGUGCCAGCAGCCGCGGUAAUACGUAGGGUGCAAGCGUUAAUCGGAAUUACUGGGCGUAAAGCGUGCGCAGGCGGUUUUGUAAGUCUGAUGUGAAAUCCCCGGGCUCAACCUGGGAAUUGCAUUGGAGACUGCAAGGCUAGAAUCUGGCAGAGGGGGGUAGAAUUCCACGUGUAGCAGUGAAAUGCGUAGAUAUGUGGAGGAACACCGAUGGCGAAGGCAGCCCCCUGGGUCAAGAUUGACGCUCAUGCACGAAAGCGUGGGGAGCAAACAGGAUUAGAUACCCCGGUAGUCCCAUGA